GCUGGGCAUGGUGGUGCAUGCCUGUAAUCCCAGAGGCUUGGGCGGCUGAGGCAGGAGGAUCCUGAGUUCAAAACCAGCCUCAGCAAAUUAGUGAGGCCCUAAGCAACUCAGCAAGAACCUGUCUCUA
rnacentral:sRNA from 1 species